UACGUAGGGUGCGAGCGUUGUCCGGAAUUAUUGGGCGUAAAGGGCUCGUAGGCGGUCUGUCGCGUCGGUAGUGAAAACUCAGGGCUUAACCCUGAGCCUGCUUCCGAUACGGGCAGACUAGAGGUAUGCAGGGGAGAAUGGAAUUCCUGGUGUAGCGGUGAAAUGCGCAGAUAUCAGGAGGAACACCGAUGGCGAAGGCAGGUCUCUGGGCAUUAACUGACGCUGAGACGCGAAAGCGUGGGGAGCGAACAGG
rnacentral:rRNA from 1 species